rnacentral:snRNA from 1 species
CAGUGUGAAGGCGAUCUAGCUGUGACAUCUGUCACCCCAUCGAUGACCGAUGUUGAUUCAGCUGAUCUGGCUGGCUAGGCAGGUGUCUCCUUCCUCCCUCACCGCUCCAUGUGUGUCUCUCAUCCCAUACUCAUCCUUCUCUUUCUGGCUUAUCUCA